CGCCAUGAUUGUGAGGUCUACCCAGCCACGUGAAACUGAUGCUCAACAAACACUGAAGACCUAUCUGGUACCAGCUUUGGUGACCAAGAAAGAAAAUCAGUGAGGUACUCCUGGUUUUUUGCCCUCCAGAAAGUCACUGACUAUCAUAGGGGAGACAUAACAUUUUGGAGGCUACAAGUCCAAAAUCAAGUUGUCAGCAGGGUCACUACAGGUGUGACAUUCUGACACCAUGCGUCGUACACACCCUUGGGAAGUUUGAAUUCCACACCACUAUGGUUCUGUUCAGAUUACUGGUUUCAUCAUGUCUGUAAGCCCAAUUAAACUACUGAAGUUCUAAUGGUCUUAUGUCCACUUUGUAAAUCAUCAUAAAGAAUAUUAAGUCAACCAAAUAAAUUUGCCUCUACAGGACUCGUUGCU
rnacentral:lncRNA from 10 species